AUCAACGGAACAAGUUACCCUAGGGAUAACAGCGCAAUCCUAGUUCAUAUCGACAGUUAGGGUUUACGACCUCGAUGUUGGAUCAGGACAUCCAAAUGGUGUAACCACUAUUAAUGGUACUAUUAAUGGUUCGUUUGUUCAACUAUUAAAGUCCUACGUGAUCUGAGUUCAGACCGGAGAAAUCCAGGUC
rnacentral:rRNA from 1 species